rnacentral:rRNA from 1 species
GACGAACGCUGGCGGCGUGCUUAACACAUGCAAGUCGAACGGUAAGGCCCUUCGGGGUACACGAGUGGCGAACGGGUGAGUAACACGUGGGUGAUCUGCCCUGCACUUCGGGAUAAGCCUGGGAAACUGGGUCUAAUACCGGAUAGGACCCUGGGAUGCAUGUCCUGGGGUGGAAAGCUUUUGCGGUGUGGGAUGGGCCCGCGGCCUAUCAGCUUGUUGGUGGGGUGAUGGCCUACCAAGGCGACGACGGGUAGCCGGCCUGAGAGGGUGACCGGCCACACUGGGACGGGGAUACGGCCCAGACGCCUACGGGAGGCAGCAGUGGGGAAUAUUGCACAAUGGGCGCAAGCCUGAUGCAGCGACGCCGCGUGAGGGAUGACGGCCUUCGGGUUGUAAACCUCUUUCAGCAUCGACGAAGCGAAAGUGACGGUAGGUGCAGAAGAAGGACCGGCCAACUACGUGCCAGCAGCCGCCGCAG